AGCUUUUCGAACCCGUGCUGAGAUUUCGUCAGAUUCCAACCCAUCAGGGUUGAUCAGACUUCCAAGAUAAGUGAAUUU
rnacentral:pre_miRNA from 1 species